rnacentral:rRNA from 1 species
CCUACGGGUGGCAGCAGUCGAGAAUCAUGCACAAUGGGGGAAACCCUGAUGGUGCGACGCCGCGUGGGGGAAUGAAGGUCUUCGGAUGGUAAACCCCAGUCAUGUGGGAGCAAAUGAAAAAGAUAGUACCACAAGAGGAAGAGACGGCUAACUCUGUGCCAGCAGCCGCGGUAAUACGGAGGUCUCAAGCGUUGUUCGGAUUUACUGGGCGUAAAGCGGGCGUAGGCUGUUGCGUAAGUCGGAUGUGAAAGGCGCGGGCUCAACCCGCGGACGGCACAUGAUACUGCGAGACUAGAGUAAUGGAGGGGGAACCGGAAUUCUCGGUGUAGCAGUGAAAUGCGUAGAUAUCGAGAGGAACACUAGUGGCGAAGGCGGGUUCCUGGACAUUAACUGACGCUGAGGCACGAAGGCCAGGGGAGCGAAAGGGAUUAGAUACCCGGGUAGUC